rnacentral:rRNA from 1 species
GACACGACUCUUGGCAAUGGAUAUCUCGGCUCUUGCAUCGAUGAAGAGCGCAGCGAAAUGCGAUACGUGGUGCGAAUUGCAGAAUCCCGCGAAC